rnacentral:rRNA from 1 species
UACGUAGGGCGCAAGCGUUAUCCGGAAUUAUUGGGCGUAAAGAGCUCGUAGGCGGUUUGUCGCGUCUGCCGUGAAAGUCCGGGGCUCAACUCCGGAUCUGCGGUGGGUACGGGCAGACUAGAGUGAUGUAGGGGAGACUGGAAUUCCUGGUGUAGCGGUGAAAUGCGCAGAUAUCAGGAGGAACACCGAUGGCGAAGGCAGGUCUCUGGGCAUUAACUGACGCUGAGGAGGGAAAGCGUGGGGAGCAAACAGG